rnacentral:rRNA from 1 species
GAAUUUUGGACAAUGGGCGAAAGCCUGAUCCAGCAAUGCCGCGUGCAGGAUGAAGGCCUUCGGGUUGUCAACUGCUUUUGUACGGACCGAAAAGCUUUUGUUUAAUACCCUGGCGUCAUGACGGUACCCUCAGCAUAAGCACCGGCUACCUACGUGCCAUCAGCCGCGGUAAUACGUAGGGUGCAAGCGUUAAUCGGAAUUACUGGGCGUAAAGCGUGCGCAGGCGGUUUUGUAAGACAGAGGUGAAAUCCACGGGCUCAACCUGGGAACUGCCUUUGUGACUGCAAGGCUAGAGUACGGCAGAGGGGGGUGGAAUUCCGCGUGUAGCAGUGAAAUGCGUAGAUAUGCGGAGGAACACCGAUGGCGAAGGCAACCCCCUGGGCCUGUACUGACGCUCAUGCACGAAAGCGUGGGGAGCAAAC